UUCUUAUUUCUUUUUUCCCCAAACGCCGAUUUCGAUCCCUUCUUCCCCGACUCCUCCUCCUUCCCCGAUCUCUCUUCCCUCUCCGAUCUCCCUCGCAGACGAGCGGCGCCGACAGGAGCGAGGCUCUAUCUCCGGGACGAACCGACGCCGACGAUCGCCGGUGUAGAUCUAUUUCUGGAGCAUCAAGGGUGAGCUAUCUUGUUCUUCCUUGAUUUAUCGUAAGCCUCAACGCCAAAUCUUCCCUCGAUUCCUCCUCUUCCUUUGGUGGCGCUGUGCCCUAGCGGAAUCUUGAAGGUGGAAGAUUUCUUAUUUCCGGUCACUAUACUACUGUCAGUUAGCAGCCUGCAUCACUGGACCUUGGAUGGGAAUAGAUGAUGAGGUGCUGUUACGUGGUGUUCUUGAUCUCACUUGAACCCAAUUGAGUAGGGAAGGAUUUCAGGAGGAUUAUGUUCUGUGGAAUCAGUGAGGUUCUGUGUUGUUGUUGUAGGGUUGUCUUGGUCCGGCAUCACCCCAAACAGUAGCUCUCCUGGUUUCUCCAAUCAACAAUGGCUGUUAAUGGAGGUUCUUACUUGAUUCCAGCAUCCAGUAGCUGAGAUUGAGGACUUUGACGCGAGACGAGUAUCUCGGAGUCAGAUUUGGACUUUUCUUAUCGGAGG